rnacentral:tRNA from 1 species
GGAGGGAUGGCAGAGCGGUAAUGCAGCGGAUUGCUAAUCCGUACACCCGAUAGGGUGUCGGGGGUUCGAUUCCCCCUCCCUCCGCCA